rnacentral:misc_RNA from 1 species
GUAGGUGAACCUGCGGAGGGAUCAUUACAGAGUUCAUGCCCUUCGGGGUAGAUCUCCCACCCUGUGUCUUGCUACCUCUGUUGCUUUGGCGGGCCGCCGCAAGGCCCCCGGCUCCGGCUGGGGCGCGCCCGCCAGAGGACCCAGACCCUGAAUGUUAGUGUCGUCUGAGUACUAUCGAAUAGUUAAAACUUUCAACAACGGAUCUCUUGGUUCUG